GAGCGCCCCGCAAGGGGAGCGGCAGACGGGAGAGUAACACGUGGGAACGUACCCUUCAGUUCGGAACAACCCAGGGAAACUUGGGCUGAUACCGAAUACGUCCGUAAGGAGAAAGAUUUAUCGCUGAAGGAUCGGCCCGCGUCUGAUUAGCUAGUUGGUGGGGUAACGGCCCACCAAGGCGACGAUCAGUAGCUGGUCUGAGAGGAUGAUCAGCCUCACUGGGACUGAGACACGGCCCAGACUCCUACGGGAGGCAGCAGUGGGGAAUAUUGGACAAUGGGCGCAAGCCUGGUCCAGCCAUGCCGCGUGGGUGAUGAAGGCCUUAGGGUUGUAAAGCCCUUUCGGCGGGGAAGAUAAUGACGGUACCCGCAGAAGAAGCCCCGGCUAACUUCGUG
rnacentral:rRNA from 1 species